UAGGGAAUCUUCGGCAAUGGGGGGAACCCUGACCGAGCAACGCCGCGUGAGUGAAGAAGGUUUUCGGAUCGUAAAACUCUGUUAUUAGGGAAGAACAAAUGUGUAAGUAACUAUGCACAUCUUGACGGUACCUAAUCAGAAAGCCACGGCUAACUACGUGCCAGCAGCCGCGGUAAUACGUAGGUGGCAAGCGUUAUCCGGAAUUAUUGGGCGUAAAGCGCGCGUAGGCGGUUUUUUAAGUCUGAUGUGAAAGCCCACGGCUCAACCGAGGAGGGUCAUUGGAAACUGGAAAACUUGAGUGCAGAAGAGGAAAGUGGAAUUCCAUGUGUAACGGUGAAAUGCGCAGAGAUAUGGAGGAACACCAGUGGCGAAGGCGACUUUCUGGUCUGUAACUGACGCUGAUGUGCGAAAGCGUGGGGAUCAAACAGG
rnacentral:rRNA from 1 species